AAAAUAUAACAAGUUCAAAUAUUAUCUUGCACGUAAUUAACAAAACACGAUAUAAUUCUUAAAAACAAACAUCUUUCCGUGCAGUUGUUUCAGUAAUAUUAGCCACCCGUCCUUUCCAAACUUGAAAAUGAAACUUUUUUCCGAAGACUUUCUUCGAAUUAUUGUUACGUCUGCCGCCGUCAACGAAAUUGUUUUGGGAAUACUAGGCUCAAUGAAUUCGAGUUUUUUUAUUUAUGGUUUUGCAAGGUACGACGACAUCUAUUCCACAUACUACUUUAGACCUUAUUACUAUUUUUUGUGGACGGCAGAGGUACUGUCAAUUUUUAAAGGCAGUCUUUUACUCUAUAGUAUAAAGCAGAAGAGAAAAAUAGGAGUUUUGCUGUAUUUUGUUCUAACGUCGGUGGUUUUGUUUGCUGCUGUAGGAAUUAUUGCUCAAUCGGGAGUACAUCUGAUGGACGUCGCAAAAAGAACCAAGUGUCAGUUCGAGUCUGCUGGUUCACUCUAUAAUGACCAUGUUGUGUUCUUCUACUUUAUUUUUUAUCCCGUCGUAUUACUUCUGGCAUGGUUUGUUCAAUUUUGUGUGUUUUUGUACUAUCGUCGUAUGUGUAGUAGCAGCUUUGAAAAUAGAACUCUUUUAAAUCAAGUGCAAGAGCAAACAGUUUGAUUAAUAACUAAAUAU